CAGGAUUGGGUGUCCCGACUUCAUAAAUAGCCGUGGUAUGCAAGGGCCGGGCAUGAUCGGUCCCAUUUCCCCGGGGUUACACCGGCGGCCCGAGUGGUACCCGAUUUUAUUGGGUUUAAAGGGUCCGUACCCGUCUUAUAAAGUCUCUUGAGAAAUCUGGCGACUUACUCGUCAGGCGUCCAAUACAUACUGAUACGCUCGAUACCGUGAGAGGUGGUACGUACUCCAUGGGUAGGGGUGAAAUCUCGUAAUCCUUGGGGGACCACCGAUGGCUAAGUCAUCCCACCAGAACGCGUCCGAGGGUAAGGGAUGAAACCUGGGGGCACGAACCGGAUUAGAUACCCGGGUAGUCCCACCUGUCAACUAUGCUCGCCUAAGUGUCACAUGCGGUGCGACCGCAUCUGUUGCCGUAGUGAAAACUUCAAGCCAGUCACCUGGCAAGUACAGUCGCAAUGCUCAAACUUUAGGGAAUUGCCGGCGGAACCACAGAAACUUAAAGGAAUUGGCG
rnacentral:rRNA from 1 species